rnacentral:misc_RNA from 1 species
GAUGAAGAACGUAGCGAAAUGCGAUACGUAAUGUGAAUUGCAAAUUCAGUGAAUCAUCGAAUCUUUGAACGCACAUUGCGCCCCCUGGUAUUCCGGGGGGCAUGCCUGUUCGAGCGUCAUUACAACCCUCAAGCUCUGCUUGGUAUUGGGCCCCGCCAGUUCUGGCGGGCCCUAAAGUCAGUGGCGGUGCCUUCCGGCUCCGAGCGUAGUAAUUCUUCUCGCUCUGGAGACCCGGUUGUGUGCUUGCCAACAACCCCCAAUUUUUUAAGGUUGACCUCGGAUCAGGUAGGGAUACCCGCUGAACUUAAGCAUAUCAAUAAGCGGAGGA